GUGCUGUUGACACGUGUCCAGUUUUAUCAAAACGCAGUGAUUCAUUAACUUGGAAAUCAGAUGGGCUUUGUCUAAAGAUUGGGCUUAAGUUCGUUCUUUGUUUUCGGCCAUGCUACCACCUUACUGCGCAAACCCUAAUCUGUGGUGAUGAACAGGUGUGUUCUUAGCGGAGACGGUGCCGGUCGAGUGUCCUACCCGUUUCUGUACGUCUUUUUUACGUCUUUAAUCCCAUUAAUUCAGACGCCAACUACGAGAUCUUCAUUUCCGUAGUUUCCGUCGGCAGUAUCGGUUAUAAAUAUGUUAGUAUGUCUCUUCUGGGAAUCGCGAUCUCCAAAAUACUCAUCUAGAUAUCGAUUGCUCAUGGUGGACGUUAAGUCGAGUUGCUUUCUCAACAAUUGCUUCCUUCAGCAUCUGGUUUAGGAAGGUCAAGCAGAAGACCAUCAGAUUCCCAAUGUUAAAGAACGGUGAAUCAAGCUUGCUAAAUGUACGGUAAUUAUUCAAACAAUUGCAGACAUGAUUCUAAGUUUUUAUUUUAUGGUAGACGUUAUUUUAGUGAUUGGAGUUUAUAACUGAUUUUUCUGAAGUUUAUAACUUCGUUUGGAGUAUCUUCGAUGCUCACAGUAAAGGCUGCAUGCAAAAGCUCAAGGAAAUGGAUCCUUUAAAUUUUGAAACUGUUAGAACCUGUUUUACCUUGCGGCCUCACCCGUUGGAAAGACAAUUGUAACUGAAGGAGGAGAUGCGACCUUAAGGUUCUGGAAUGUCUUACCAUCCCUGAAAUCUCAGUAUUAGGUGGGAUCUGUGCUGAGCGUAGUCUGCUGGGUGUGACUAGAUGUGCAACUAUGCUUGAAGAAAGAGUUAGAUCCUAUGCAAACCACCAAAACCAGGAUUCACUUCAACUGGUUGAUGGAACGUCUUGAUACUUGAAUUCCCUUUCUCAUCUUUUCGUAAGAACCAAGGAGUUUGUUUAUAUCGUCACGUUAAAAACUUAGAGCUUUGCUUUCACAAUCGAGGUUUACAAUUAUCUUUUUUUUUACUGAAGUUUUACAGUUAUCUUCUUCUAUUUUUUUCUGAACUAUUGUCUAAAAUUAUCUUUAAGCAAUAAUAUUCUUUUUUUUUUCUUAAGUACACAACUAACCAUCUCUAUUGCCCUUCUUUAAGUGGUACACCAGUUUCGAUAGGAAAGGCGCUGACCAUUUACAAGUUUUGAUUUACGUUUACCAGUUGCCACAUGCAUGAAAACCGUGACAUGACUAGGAGAUUCUCACAGAGUUAAUCACUAACCUGUAAAUAUAAGUUUCCUGUCAUACAUUUAGGGUUAUGUUCUGGAGGGAGAUACAGCCUUCUUUGGUUUAGUAUGGUUUAACAUAUAGUCCGCUUCAAAUUUUUUUGGUGUCAAUCACGGACCCGUUUCUUUUUGGAUUUAAAGUUGCAUGCAUUUGUGUGUUUGUUAUAUAUAUGAAGUCUGGAGGUAAAAGGAGAGACAAACACCAUCUGAACCAACAUGAGUGACAAGAGCAGAGGAAAAAGAGAGUUCUUCGGUAUAGAUUUGAGUCAUAAUUUGUAUCAUCAGUCUAUACCACCUAGAUUUCGGUAUAGACGACUCCGUCAUAUUUAAGAGUUUUACAUUUCUGGGUUUAAUAAAAAACAGCAUGUUAACACUUACACAUACGUCAAAUUAUUGGUUACCAAAUACAGGGUCCA